AUACUUAUCUGGCAGGGGCAAUACCAUGAUCAAGAAGGUGGUUUUUGCCCAAGGUGAGGCCCAGCCAUUGCACUCGGGCUGUGCUGACUUUUUUUGCGAGUUCCUCAAAUGCAGGAAUCUCAACUGCAUAAUUUCUGAUAGUGUGGGGGAUUGCGUUCGCACUCUCCUCUU